UACACUCCUGCGGGAGGCAGCAGUGGGGAAUUUUGGACAAUGGGCGAAAGCCUGAUCCAGCCAUGCCGCGUGCAGGAUGAAGGCCUUCGGGUUGUAAACUGCUUUUGUACGGAACGAAACGGCCUUUUCUAAUAAAGAGGGCUAAUGACGGUACCGUAAGAAUAAGCACCGGCUAACUACGAGCCAGCAGCCGCGGUAAUACGUAGGGUGCAAGCGUUAAUCGGAAUUACUGGGCGUAAAGCGUGCGCAGGCGGUUAUGUAAGACAGUUGUGAAAUCCCCGGGCUCAACCUGGGAACUGCAUCUGUGACUGCAUAGCUAGAGUACGGUAGAGGGGGAUGGAAUUCCGCGUGUAGCAGUGAAAUGCGUAGAUAUGCGGAGGAACACCGAUGGCGAAGGCAAUCCCCUGGACCUGUACUGACGCUCAUGCACGAAAGCGUGGGGAGCAAACAGGAUUAGAUACCCCGGUAGUCCCAUGA
rnacentral:rRNA from 1 species